CUUCCUACCCAUCUGCACCUCUAGAACCCUAUUUUCUAUUUUCAUUAACAUAUUUACUAUUAUUACUUUUAGUUCCUGUUUGCAACAUAGAAUAUUUAUCAUUUCAAUGUAUAAUGUGAGUAUUUGGUACAUGUACAUGACACAUCUUGAAUAUUUUCACAUUCCCUCUCCUUUAAGCCUCUUUUCAUUCAGGGUCUCUUUGACCCUUCCUGUCUAUCUAUCACUCUGUUUGCUUUUAUCAAACUUUUAUUUUGCUCUUUAAUUUCAGUUUCUCAUGAAAGAGAAAUCAUUAGAUUUUUGACCUUGUUUCUGUUUUAUUGACCUUAACAUUAUGGCUCAAAAUGUGUCUGUCAUUUUCUCACUGCUGAGACAAAAUUCCAAACACACACAAGUUAAGGGAGGAAAGGCUCAUUUUACCUCAGAGUUAAUAGGGGUUUCAGUCCAUCAGCAGGCUUUGAGGUAGGGCUGCAUAGCAGAAGGGCUGUGCAGAGGAGAAACAAUUUAUGGCAUAGCAGGCAGGAGGAAGCAUCAACAUCCAGCCUCCCUUUCUCUUUUAUCCCAGACAGGCUACAAGCCUAGGGGUUGGUGCCACUUGUACCCAGUGUGGGUCUUCUUUUUUCAGUAUAUCGAUUCAGCCACAUCCAGAAGUCAUGCUAAUCCAAUCAGUGAACUAAUCUAGUUAUCUCACUUGUAAAUCUUAUUCAUAUUCUAGAUCUAGGUACCUGUGAAAAGCUUCAUCUAUUACGGCUUUAAGCUUUGGGAGAACAACUAAAUAACAUCCAUAAUAAGGUGCAUCCAUUUAUCUACAAAUGACUCAAGUUUAUCUUUCUUUCUGGCAGACUAGUACUCCACUGUGUGUAAAUACCACAUUUCCUCUCUCCACUUUUCUGCUAUUGGACACAUAGGCUGCAUCCAGAAUUUAGUUAUCAUGAAUUUUGCUGUUAUAAAUAUAGACAUGAAUGUAUCACUGUAACAUAAUAUCUCUAAUUCUUCUUUGCAGAAUACCAAGAAUUUGCAUAACUUGGUCAAAUGGAAUUUAUAUAUGUUUAGUUCUUUGAGGUACUUUCAUACUGAUUUUUACCAUUGGUGUACAAAUUUACAUUCCCAUAAACAAGGUAGAAGUGUUCCUUUUUUACCAUAGCCAUAUUGGCAUUUAUUAUUAUUUAAUUUCUUGAUGAUUGUCUUUCUGCUGUAAGAGGAAAUCAUAGGGUUGUUUUAAUUUAUUUUUAUCUAGUGGCCAGAGAUGUUGGAUAUUUUUUCCACGUUUAGUGGCCAUUUAUACUUCUGAGCAGUGUCUAUUCAUUUCACUUGCCCAUUUAUGAUUGGGUUGUACAUUUUUGGAGGUAUAAUUUUUUGUGAUAUACACAUAUAUUAGAUAUUACUCCUUUGUUUGAGGAAUAGUGUGCAAUGAUUUUCCCAUCCUGUAAGUUGUGUCUCUAUAUGGUUGUUUUCUUUGCUAUUCAAAAGCAUUUUAAUUUCAUAAGAUCUCAUUUAUUGAUUUUUGCUAUUUUUUUUUGUACUUUUUUUUCACCAAGUCUUGCUUACACCUUUGACUUCAAAAGAUUUACCUACUUUAUGUUCCAGCUGGAUAAGUGUUUGUAUUCUAAUCCUUAGAUCUUUGAUCCAUUUGGUUUUACAUUCAAUAUAUGGUGAGAGACAUGGGUCCAGCUUCCAUCCUUUAUUCAGAGACAACCAGUUUCCCAGACAAUUUUCUAUAGAGGCUGUCUUUCUGCGCAGGUAUGCUUUGGCGACUGUGUCAGAGGUCAUACAGCUGAAUGGUGCUAAUGAUGUUUCUGAAUCCUCUCUUCUAGUUCUUUGGCACAUAUGAUAGUUUUAGUGUUAGUACCAUGAUGUUUUUAUCACUCUAACCUUGGACUAUAACUUGAAGUCAGGCAUUGUGGUGCCUUCUGCUUUAGUCUUGUUGCCCAGGAUUGAUUUUUCUAUUCUGAGUGUCUUUUGGCUCCAUAUUUUUUUGAAGUUUUUCUCUCCUUUAAGGAAUGCUAUUGGCAUUUUGAUUGGAAAUGCUUUAAAUCUAUCAGCUUUGAAAGUAUGGCCACUUUGACAAUAUUGAUUCUGCCUAUUCAGAAAGAGGGCAUAUCUCUCCAUUUUCUGAUGUGAUUUUCAAUUUCCUUUUAUGAGAACUAUAAUUUUCAAAACAGGGGUUUUUAUCUUCCUUGGUUAGGUUAAUUGAAGGUAUUUGAUUUUUUGAUGGUAUUUUGAAUGCUUUUCUUUUUCUAAUUUCUUUAUCUCUGAGUUAACUAGAGGUGUGCACAAAUCCUAUAGAUUUCUGUGUAUUGAUUUUGUAUCCUGCUAAUUUGUUUAAAUUGGAUAUGAAUUGUAGGAGGUUUUUAGUGCAAUUUUUUUGGUCAUCUAUGUAAAAAAUAAUGUCAUCUACAUAUCAUAAUAUUUUUACUCCUUUCCUAUAUUUACCCCUUUUCUUUAUUUUUCUUGCCUUAUUUUUCUGGUUAAUCUUUGAGUAUAAUGAUUAUCCUAACUGGUGAUAGUGGGCAUCCUUGUGUUGUUCCUGAUUUCAGAGGUAAAGCUUUCAAAUUUUUUCCAUUUAAAAAGAUAAUUGCCUCUGGUUUGUCAUAAGUAGCUUGUAUUAGAUUCAAUAAGGUCCUUCUAUACUUAUUUUCUUUAGGGUUUGUUGUUAUCUUUCUAUACAUCUCUCUGUUUCUGUAGUUUCUCCAUAUUUUUGAUAAUUCCAGUAAAACAAAAUGUUAAUAUAAUUCUUAAUUUUAUCACUAGUUAAGUAAGUUUCUGCUCCAUUCUUUGUCUCAAUGUAGUUAUUUAUAAUUUGAAUUGUUUGAAUGAUUUGAAUGUAACAACUUCAUUGAUACAAGCUAUGUAUUAUGCAGUCUGACACAAAUUAUUCCUUACAUAUCAUUUAACAUUUGUAAAAUGUCAGUAAUAUUUUCCAGAAAUGUGUUCAAUUCUCACAUUUGUAUUUAUUUUUCCUCAGAUUAAGAAUUAUAAAUCAUUUAAUGCAUGUUUUAGCAGUCAGAGACUUAAUUUGUGACCAGAUUAGAGCCCCAGCUGAGCUUCCCCACACCUAGGCUUGGGCUGCAGCCCCAAAUGUCCAUCAAGGAGAUGAGCAGUGGUGAGGGGAGAGAAAGAGCUUUCGUUGGGCAACCCUGGCAGGGAAGGCAAACAUAAGCUCAAGGUCACUCUGAGGAUUUCUGGAUAAGGGGAGGAAGGCAAGGAUGGGAGCUUCCAUGGCUGGGUGGUCUGCUCUGCAGGCAGGUAGGCACCUGGCUGGGUCUGGCAGGGCCUCCUCUCAGGCUGAAUCUGUGAGGGGCCUGAUUGGACUCCUCCAGGCCUGAGGCUGGGAUCCUGCUCCCAGUGGAACAUGGCCUCUGCUUGGGGAGAGGCCUUGGCUCCACUGUGGUGCUCACUGUUCUCUGUGGGGUGACCUCACUUAGAGGCGCUCCUGAUCCUGGAAUCCAAGAUGACUGCAGGACAAUGACUGGAACUUCACAGUGCAGCUCUGGGGAUGUGGAACAGAAUGUGGCAAAAGCUGGCACUUGGUUUUCCAGCAGGUCAUGGAAGUACCUGGAUGUAUUGUCUUUAGCAGGGCAUCCUCUGGGUAGAUAUAGGUAAUGAUCCUGUACUGACUGCUCCUAGACAGACACUCUCUAAGUGACAACCAGGCCUGGGUGCAGCCACCCCAAACUUUAGUGCAAUAAAAGAGAUGGAUAUAAAAUGAGACACAGAUAUCAUUGGGCUUUAUCCUGAUUUUAGUUAACCAAGGCACAUAUUUAGGCCCAGCACCUAUAGCCUUCUUAAAUUUUUAAUUUAUAUUUUGUUUUACCUAUGUAUAUUUUGUUUCCAGGUACCACAAAGGCCUGAAUCCAGCGCCUACCUAUUGGAUUAUUUGCCCACUUGCCAUUGAAAAUGUGAGAAAACAGUAACACAAGUUUAUUCACAAUUUGACCAAAGGAAUAACCAUGCACAUGAGCAAGAAUCUGAGAUAAAUAUACAACAGCCACUUCGGAUCAUGAAUCCUGAGGCAUUUUCAACAAUCAAGUUCAGGAAUGUGCCUAAGGAAAUAAGCUCUCAUGCUUAUUCAUCAACAGUACCAUUUGUCACUGCAAUGGCUUUUGGACAAGUAUCUGAAGCCAGAUGGGGGGCAGGAGGAAUACCAGAUGCCCCUUCAGCAUGGCAUUUUACCUGAUGGACAGCAAGGAAGCUUUCUGAGAUAAAUUGGGCCUUGACAGAGACAGGAGUAAAACUAAGAAGUUCAUGACAGACUAAAUAUGAACAUGAAUAUAUAUUUAUAUAUAUGGACACAUGUAUUGUUAAAAUAUAUUAUUUGAAAUUUACAUUAAAAAGUGACAAGUGAUAGAGGAAAUAAUUAGGUAGAUGAAAAUGAUUAAAUAUAUGACAAUGGUUACUAAACAUGAGUGAUGAAAUAAGCCAGGUGCAGUGCACAUUUUUUCAUUUUAAAAUUUUAUUUCAUUAGUACAUUAUUGGAGUGCAUGAGGUUUGCCUUAGGGAGGAGGUGCAUGUACUUAACACAUCUGAUUCGUUUUUAUUCCC
rnacentral:lncRNA from 1 species